rnacentral:rRNA from 1 species
ACGGGUAGCCGGCCUGAGAGGGUGACCGGCCACACUGGGACUGAGACACGGCCCAGACUCCUACGGGAGGCAGCAGUGGGGAAUAUUGCACAAUGGGCGCAAGCCUGAUGCAGCAACGCCGCGUGAGGGAUGACGGCCUUCGGGUUGUAAACCUCUUUUAGUAGGGAAGAAGCGAAAGUGACGGUACCUGCAGAAAAAGCACCGGCUAACUACGUGCCAGCAGCCGCGGUAAUACGUAGGGUGCAAGCGUUGUCCGGAAUUAUUGGGCGUAAAGAGCUCGUAGGCGGUUUGUCGCGUCUGCUGUGAAAACCCGAGGCUCAACCUCGGGCCUGCAGUGGGUACGGGCAGACUAGAGUGCGGUAGGGGAGAUUGGAAUUCCUGGUGUAGCGGUGGAAUGCGCAGAUAUCAGGAGGAACACCGAUGGCGAAGGCAGAUCUCUGGGCCGUAACUGACGCUGAGGAGCGAAAGCAUGGGGAGCGAACAGGAUUAGAUACCCUGGUAGUCCAUGCCGUAAACGUUGGGAACUAGAUGUAGGGACCAUUCCACGGUUUCUGUGUCGCAGCUAACGCAUUAAGUUCCCCGCCUGG